rnacentral:rRNA from 1 species
GUGGAUUAGAUACCCUGGUAGUCUACGCAGUAAACGAUGGGUACUAGGUGGUGGAAGCGCCGAUAGCUUUCUCCGCCGAAGCAAAAGCGUUAAGUACCCCGCCUGGGGAGUACGGCCGCAAGGUUAAAACUCAAAGGAAUUGACGGGGGCCCACACAAGCGGUGGAGGAUGCGGCUUAAUUCGAGGACACGCGUAGAACCUUACCAAGGCUUGACAUGCAGGGAUUAACCCAUCGAAAGGUGGGGGAUUGCCUCACGGUGUAACCUGCACAGGUGCUGCACGGCCGUCGUCAACU